CACGUAGGGCGCAAGCGUUGUCCGGAAUUAUUGGGCGUAAAGAGCUCGUAGGCGGUCUGUUGCGUCCGCUGUGAAAACCCGGGGCUUAACCCUGGGCUGGCAGUGGAUACGGACAGACUAGAGGUAGGUAGGGGAGAAUGGAAUUCCCGGUGUAGCGGUGAAAUGCGCAGAUAUCGGGAGGAACACCGGUGGCGAAGGCGGUUCUCUGGGCCUUACCUGACGCUGAGGCGCGAAAGCCAGGGGAGCAAACGGG
rnacentral:rRNA from 1 species